UUGCCGGAAAUGCAGAAACACGAGGGGAGAUUUACUGUGGGACCUUGCUGAGCUCCUGGCAGUAAACUUUAUGGCAGCCUUCCUCUGACUGGCCCUCCCUGGGAUUUUUAACUCUCAUAGUUGUCUGUAAAGAGCCUCUAGCAUUUCAUCAAUUACAGCUCAUGUUUUCUCCUCUGGCGUAGUUUCUGCAAGUCUCUGCUCAGGUUGGAUCCACUCUUUCCUCAAACCCCUGUCUUUUAAACGCCAUCCCUUAUUACUUCUGAGUUUUUUUGAAUUUGCUAGAGCAUAACUUCAAGCAACAUCCCAAGAAAAGUGUAUGAGAGACAAAGAAAUUUGGGCAUCUAGAGGUUAAAUGACUUAUUGAAUGUGAAACAGCAAACAAGGAUUGAGCUAAUAUUCAGCCAAGGUGUGCGGCUCCAGAGACUUCAU